GACGUAGGGGGCCAGCGUUGCUCGGAAUUACUGGGCGUAAAGGGUCCGUAGGCGGUGCGGUAAGUCGGGAGUGAAAUCUCUGGGCUUAACUCAGAGGCUGCUUCCGAAACUACCGUGCUAGAGUGCGAGAGAGGCAAGUGGAAUUGCGGGUGUAGCGGUGGAAUGCGCAGAUAUCAGGAGGAACACCAAUGGCGAAGGCAGAUCUCUGGGCCGUAACUGACGCUGAGGAGCGAAAGCAUGGGGAGCGAGCAGG
rnacentral:rRNA from 1 species